rnacentral:piRNA from 1 species
AACACAGGCAUUGUGUUUUCAUAGGCUGA